rnacentral:rRNA from 1 species
GACGAACGCUGGCGGCGUGCUUAACACAUGCAAGUCGAACGAGAGCGUAGAGAAAGCUUGCUUUUUCUACAAUCUAGUGGCAAACGGGUGAGUAACGCGUAAACAACCUGCCCUACGGAUGGGGACAACAGCUGGAAACGGCUGCUAAUACCGAAUACGUUCCGAAAGUCGCAUGACUAUCGGAAGAAAGGAUGGCCUCUAUUUAUAAGCUAUCGCCGGAGGAGGGGUUUGCGUCUGAUUAGCUAGUUGGAGGGGUAACGGCCCACCAAGGCGACGAUCAGUAGCCGGUCUGAGAGGAUGAACCGCCACAUUGGCACUGAGACACGGUCCAGACUACUACGGGAGGCAGCAGUGGGGAAUCUUCCGCAAUGGGCGAAAGCCUGACGGAGCAACGCCGCGUGAGUGAAGACGGCCUUCGGGUUGUAAAGCUCUGUUAUACGGGACGAAUAAUCUUGUGGUUAAUACCCACGAGAAGUGACGGUACCGUAAGAGAAAGCCACGGCUAACUACGUG